rnacentral:rRNA from 1 species
AAGUUCUGACCCGCAUGAAAGGCUUCACGACUGGGGGACUGUCUCAACGAGGAGCCCGGUGAAAAUGCAAUAAGCGUGAAGAUGCGCUUUACCUGCGGCUAGACGGAAAGACCCCGGGAGCUUUACUGUAGGGUGGUAUUGAAUUUAGGGUUUUGAUGCGUAGUGUAGUGGGGAGGCUUUGAAGUUCUGGUUUCGGCCAGGAUGGAGCCGUCAAUGAAACACUCAUCUUCGGAACUCUUUAUUCUAAUUCCGCGUUUAGUGGGAAACAGUGCCACUCGGUCAGUUUAAGUGGGGCACUUGCCUCCUAAAAGGUAAUGGAGGCGUUUAA